AUAUUUACAUUUUUAUUGACUAAUAGGUAAGUUUAUACGGAUUUAUAAAACAGAUUCCCCACGAAGAAUCAUACGGCAUGACAAAGCAUUAAAAAUAGAGAUGCUCCGAUCAGGUUUUUUGGUGCCGAUCACUGAAAUCAGUAUCUGCCGAUCCGAUAAUACCGAUCACUGUCGAAUCGACAGUGUCGAUUGAAGCAUUAUUUAUGAAAUGAAUUAUUCUUAACAACAUUGGUUAUGUAUUUUAAGUAUUUACAAUUAAAAUACAUUAAAUACACAACAUUUAAAUUUAGUACAUUAAAAUUGUUUGAUUGCCAGUGUAGGGGAUUUCAGAUAUGUAUGGAACACAUCUGCAUCAGUCAUUUCCUGGAAAUCUUGUGGAAAUCUAUAUACAGGACUUCAAAUAAUCAGAAAUGUGCUUUUUUAACACACAAAAGUCUGACCUUUAUUUUUAUUAACUCUUCCUUGGUACAGUAACAAUUUAAUUUCAGCAUAAUUUAAAUCUCAGAAACGAUCUAUAAAGAUACAAAAUCAGUUCAUUGCUUACUUUGAUUUCUUAGUGUAUGAUUUGUCGACAUCUUAUUUUGAAAAACGGAUGUUUUUUCACGUGGUUCUUUCCGCUAAUUUUGAAAAACCGGAUGUUGUGUCACGUGAAUCCUUCCGUUAACUUUAUCAAAACCCUCGCGCGCUCCCGAUCAAAUGCAUGUACCGUGAACAUCAGUCUAUCGGGGCACAGAAAUUAUUUGUCGGCUGAGUUGACCACGGAGAUCCGAGCGUCGGCUGAGCUGACCGCAUUUUGGCGGGACAGGGACGCCGCUCGGGCAAGGAGACCAGCAUUUUAAACAUGUAUGACAAGUUGGGUGGCUUCCUGAAGAAAGCAGAGCUGUGGAGAAGGUCCUCUGCAGAGGGAGAUUUCACCUGCUUUCCCCAGGUGGGUGCUUUUCUCUCUCAUGAGGAUGUGGACAGAGCUGCAGUCAAGUCGGUCAUAGUGGGACAUUUGACCAACGUGAUUAAAGAUUUUCAUUCCUACUUUCCUGACAUGGAGGAUAAAUCUGUACAGCUGGAUUGGGUGAGAAACCCAUUUCUCUUGUCUGAAGCAAACAGAAGCUACCUGUCACUUAUCAGGAAAAACUCCUGGAAGUGUCAUCUGACCGUGGCCUCCAGAUGAAGUGUGCCACAUCCACACUCACACAGUUUUGGGUGUGUGUGAAGCAGGAGCACUCUGACCUGGGACAGAAAGCUUUGGAGCAGCUACUGCCCUUUGCCUCCACAUAUUUAUGUGAGGCCUCCUUCUCUGCAAUGACUGUGAUCAAAACAAAGCAAAGAAACAGACUGUGCCUGGAGAAGAGCUUCAUCACAGCAGUGGCCUCCCUGCCAUCAAGACUGACAAAGAUCCUCAGUGAAGCACAAGCACACGUUUCUCAUUAAAAUGUAAAUGCUAAAGCAUUCAGUUUAAUGCAAUGUUCAUUGUUGACAGUUUAAUAAAUCCGACACUGAUGGCA